GACGAACGCUGGCGGCGUGCCUAAUACAUGCAAGUCGAGCGAGUCUGCCUUGAAGAUCGGAGUGCUUGCACUCUGUGAAACAAGAUACAGGCUAGCGGCGGACGGGUGAGUAACACGUGGGUAACCUGCCCAAGAGAUCGGGAUAACACCUGGAAACAGAUGCUAAUACCGGAUAACAACAGAUGAUGCCUAUCAACUGUUUAAAAGAUGGUUCUGCUAUCACUCUUGGAUGGACCUGCGGUGCAUUAGCUAGUUGGUAGGGUAACGGCCUACCAAGGCGAUGAUGCAUAGCCGAGUUGAGAGACUGAUCGGCCACAUUGGGACUGAGACACGGCCCAAACUCCUACGGGAGGCAGCAGUAGGGAAUCUUCCACAAUGGACGCAAGUCUGAUGGAGCAACGCCGCGUGAGUGAAGAAGGGUUUCGGCUCGUAAAGCUUUGUUGUUGGUGAAGAAGGACAGGGGUAGUAACUGACCUUUGUUUGACGGUAAUCAAUUAGAAAGUCACGGCUAACUAAGU
rnacentral:rRNA from 1 species